CAGCCGCCGCGGUAAUACGAAGGGUGCAAGCGUUACUCGGAAUUACUGGGCGUAAAGCGUGCGUAGGUGGUGGUUUAAGUCCGUUGUGAAAGCCCUGGGCUCAACCUGGGAAUUGCAGUGGAUACUGGGUCACUAGAGUGUGGUAGAGGAUAGUGGAAUUUCCGGUGUAGCAGUGAAAUGCGUAGAGAUCGGAAGGAACAUCUGUGACGAAGGCGACUAUCUGGGCCAACACUGACACUGAGGCACGAAAGCGUGGGGAGCACACAGGAUUAGAUACCCGCGUAGUCCCUGUCUCUUAUAU
rnacentral:rRNA from 1 species